AUUGAACGCUGGCGGCAUGCUUUACACAUGCAAGUCGAACGGUAACAGGGCUUCGGGUGCUGACGAGUGGCGUAAGGGAGAGUAAUGCAUCGGAACGUACCCAGAGGCGGGGGAUAAGGCAGCGAAAGAUGUGCUAAUACCGCAUGAGAUCUGAGGAUGAAACCGGGGGACCGAGCAGCAAGGUUUGGCCUCGUGCCUUUGGAGAGGCCGAUGUCGGCUUAGCUAGAUGGUGGGGUCAAGGGCUACAAAGGCGACGAUCCGUAACUGGUAUGAGCGGACGACCAGCUAGAUGGGGAGUGAGACACGGCACAGACUCCUACACGGGGAAGCGGUGGGGAAUUUUGGACAAGGGGGGCAUGGCUAAUCCAGCAAUGCGGCCGGCAGGAAGAAGGCCUUCGGCUUGUAGACCGCUUAUGGCAGGAACGAUACGGUGUCCUCUAAUACCGGACGCUAAUGACGGUACCUGCAGAAUAAGCACCGGCUAACUACGUG
rnacentral:rRNA from 1 species